GAUGAACGCUGGCGGCGUGCCUAACACAUGCAAGUUGAGCGAUUCUCUUCGGAGAAGAGCGGCGGACGGGUGAGUAACGCGUGGGUAACCUGCCUCAUACACAUGGAUAACAUACCGAAAGGUAUGCUAAUACAGGAUAACAUAGGAGAUUCGCAUGGAUUUCUUAUCAAAGCUCCGGCGGUAUGAGAUGGACCCGCGUCUGAUUAGCUAGUUGGUAAGGUAAUGGCUUACCAAGGCAACGAUCAGUAGCCGACCUGAGAGGGUGAUCGGCCACAUUGGAACUGAGACACGGUCCAAACUCCUACGGGAGCAG
rnacentral:rRNA from 1 species